GACGAACGCUGGCGGCGUGCCUAAUACAUGCAAGUCGAACGCAGUGGGGACGGGUGAGUAACACGUGGGUAACCUCCCAUCAGAGGGGAUAACACUUGGAAACAGGUGCUAAACCGAUACUGAUGGAUGGACCCGCGGUGCAUUAGCUAGUUGGUGAGGUAACGGCUCACCAAGGCCACGAUGCAUAGACGACCUGAGAGUGGGAGCGAACACACUGGGACUGAGACAAGGCCCAAACUCCUACGUGAGGCAGCAGUAGGGAAUCUUCGGCAAUGACAGAAAGUCUGACCGAGCAACGCCGCGUGAGUGAAGAAGGUUUGCGGAUCUUAAAACCCUGUUGUUAGAGAGGGAGUAUCUAACCAGAAAGCCCCGGCUAACUACGUGCCAGCCGCCGCGGUAAUAC
rnacentral:rRNA from 1 species